CCUACGGGUGGCUGCAGUCGAGAAUCAUUCACAAUGGGGGAAACCCUGAUGGUGCGACGCCGCGUGGGGGAAUGAAGGUCUUCGGAUUGUAAACCCCUGUCAUGUGGGAGCAAAUUAAAAAGAUAGUACCACAAGAGGAAGAGACGGCUAACUCUGUGCCAGCAGCCGCGGUAAUACAGAGGUCUCAAGCGUUGUUCGGAAUCACUGGGCGUAAGGCGUGCGUAGGCUGUUUCGUAAGUCGUGUGUGAAAGGCGCGGGCUCAACCCGCGGACGGCACAAGAUACUGCGAGACUAGAGUAAUGGAGGGGGAACCGGAAUUCUCGGUGUAGCAGUGAAAUGCGUAGAUAUCGAGAGGAACACUCGUGGCGAAGGCGGGUUCCUGGACAUUAACUGACGCUGAGGCACGAAGGCCAGGGGAGCGAAAGGGAUUAGAUACCCGAGUAGUC
rnacentral:rRNA from 1 species